UUGUUAUUUUUUGGGAAGGCCAUUAUGGUUAGUUUUAUUGGAACUCAAAAUAGGUUUACAUCGUCUACGAGCUUGCUGACAACAAUGUCAGGAGGCUCGUUCCCGACGAUUAUUGUUAUCUUCUCGUUGCCAUGCAUAUACCUCGGUCUCUUUCAUCCCUUGAUGGGCAAACCAACCACGUACGAGCAUAGCAGGGAGGCCGUAGCGAUCGAGCGCAGAAGAUGCAUGCAUGGGCUAGGAAGAUAUUGAUUCAACGUUGCCGAACCUACCAAUACCAUCACCAGCUUAGCUAAGCUAGCCUUGAAUGCAGCUCUGACAACCGGCGUCCAAUGCAGCAGCCUACAAAUAGAGGCCACCGUCUCACAUCCACGGCAUCCAUUCCACUUGCACCCACAGAUCGACCCCCAUGGCAACCGGCUGUCGCUCCACCUCCGCCACCCGGGCCAUCGUCCUCGCGCUGCUGCUCCUCUGCUUCGCCGCCACUACGGUGCAGUCGAGGAAGCCUUCGGCCAGGUACAUCUCGUACGCGGCCCUCCCAAGACCCGACUGCCUGCGAGCCGGCCGUCCCGUUUUCUGCCGCGGGGUCUCGGCCAUCUCCGGCAAGCCUUCACCCGGAUGUGCAUGUCACGACUCGACGCGGAGAUGGCGGCGGAUCUUCACAGAGAUCCCUGAGCCCCUAGCAGCAUCGAUCGUCCGUGCUUUGUAGAACUGCAAGACAAGAGGAAUAUAUAUGUUGGAAUUUAUGUUUACCUUUAACUUGUAAUCUCAACAGCAUAUCUCCUCCCCCUCUCUCUCGUAGCUAUCUCAAUCUUUGUAACGACCGUAUCGUUGGCGAUCGGUUCAACUUGUAAGCCACGGCAGGGCUUCUGCCUCAUAUCAAUAUAAACCAUCGCGGCUCCCUUACGAGGGAGUAGGAACGCUUCCCAA